GCCUAACACAUGCAAGUCGAGCGGUAACAGGUCUAGUUUACUAGAUGCUGACGAGCGGCGGACGGCUGAGUAACGCGUGGGAACAUGCCCCAAAGUGAGGAAUAACUGCCCGAAAGGGUAGCUAAUGCCGCAUAUGAUCUUCGGAUUAAAGGAUUUAUCCGCUUUGGGAGUGGCCCGCGUACGAUUAGGUAGUUGGUGAGGUAAUGGCUCACCAAGCCCACGAUCGUUAACUGGUCUGAGAGGAUGAUCAGUCAGACUGGAACUGAGACACGGUCCAGACUCCUACGGGAGGCAGCAGUGAGGAAUCUUCCACAAUGGGCGAAAGCCUGAUGGAGCGACGCCGCGUGCAGGAUGAAGGCCCUCGGGUUGUAAACUGCUUUUAUAAGUGAAGAAUAUGACGGUAACUUAUGAAUAAGCACCGGCUAACUACGUGCCAGCAGCCGCGGUAAUAC
rnacentral:rRNA from 1 species